AACGGACGCUGGCGGCAGGCCUAACACAUGCAAGUCGAGCGCCCCGCAAGGGGAGCGGCGGACGGGUGAGUAACGCGUGGGAACGUACCUUUUGCUUCGGAAUAGCCUCGGGAAACUGGGAGUAAUACCGAAUGUGCCCUACGGGGGAAAGAUUUAUCGGCAAAAGAUCGGCCCGCGUUGGAUUAGGUAGUUGGUGGGGUAAUGGCCUACCAAGCCGACGAUCCAUAGCUGGUUUGAGAGGAUGAUCAGCCACACUGGGACUGAGACACGGCCCAGACUCCUACGGGAGGCAGCAGUGGGGAAUCUUAGACAAUGGGCGCAAGCCUGAUCUAGCCAUGCCGCGUGAGCGAUGAAGGCCUUAGGGUUGUAAAGCUCUUUCGUGGGGGAAGAUAAUGACUGUACCCCAAGAAGAAGCCCCGGCUAACUCCGUGCCAGCAGCCGCGGUAACAC
rnacentral:rRNA from 1 species